CCAAGGUGCAAGCAAGCAAUUGGAGGGACUGUUGGAGUGUAGAGCUCCCCAAAAGCUUGCCAGCAGAAAGGGUUGUUUAGGCGGUAGUGGGAUAUUUGGACAGGCCUGAGUUGUACUCCAGUAAGAGUUAUCCCUGAACAAGUAAAACUGGUCUAUGAUGAUUGGUGUUUGGACUUCUGAGACUUGGAUGUUCGAGAACCGUACAUCUUGAACCAAGCCUAAGCCACCCUGCAAGUAGAGUUUAAUUUGUUUAGCUCAGUGUAUUCCAUCAGUGUUGAGGCUGUUUUCUGGGGAGGAUAUUGUUACGUCAUGGACCAUCACUCCUUGACAGCUGUCAAACUUGAGAUGACACUGCGAGCUGUUGACAAUAGUGAUACCAGCUACUACAACGUUGAAACUACCAUAGAAUCUCAGUGCCUGCAUCAGAGUUUAACUUGUGGCAUCCUUUCAAACUCCACAUCGUACUGCUGGAAGUAUCCAAGCGUUGGCGAUGCCGUCGUGCGAGAGCGGCGGCCGGCGAAGCGGAGUGGAGCGGUGGCGGCAAGCGGGCGAGAGCGCGGCGGCGGCAAGCGGGCGAGCGCGCGGCACUCCGGCGAAGCCUCGAGUCACGCUCCCGGCCUCUGACGGCGUUGUCGCCGCACGAGCCACGUUCUCGACGCACAGUGCGAAUCCUGCCGAGCCACUUGACUAGCGUCGUCGCCACAUCAGCACGGUUCAGAAGCCUUAGCACGCGAAGCUGAGGAGUCUCCAUCCGCGAGAUCGACGCCAUCUUCCUCCUCUCCGGCCGCCAGUCCUCGCCGUUGAUUUCUCUUUCCUUGCAGCGCAUCGAUCGGAGUGGGCCGCCGCCGUGAAGCCGCCGCCAUCCGCCGUCGCCAAGCUGAUCCUGAGGUCGCCGUCGUCGUCCAAGCUUCACCAAGUCACGAGCUAUCUCGACUCUCGAGUAAGCACCUAAGAACGCCGACCCUCUUUCCCACCGUGUUGGUGACGCCGUUGCCGCCGCAUCGGCCCUCCUCUCCGCAUCGGUGAUGAUGGCUGCAGCCGCGCGCCGCCAUUGCCGACCGCACGAGGGGGAUUGGGAGGCCAGCGAGCUCGCGCUACCCUAAGCCCGCGCGCCGCCACCCAGGAGCCGCCGUCGCCGGCCGCACCACCCUCUGGCCGCGCGCGCCGCCGCCUGUGCGAGAGCAGAGAGCGAAAGGAAGGAGAGAAAUAGAGAAAGAGAGAGGGUGCUGACAUAGUCUCCAUGACAUGUGGGGCCCACGUGGGUCCCAUGCUGAGUCAGCCGCCACGUGGGAUAAAACCGUGGUCAAAACCGCCGAGGAAGCUAUUGUGAUCGGUCUUAUAAGUUGGGGGACGCCAGAUAUCCUGUUUUAUGGUUGGGGACGAUUUUGUAUCUGGCUAACAAAUUUGAGGGACAUUGCGUGUACUUUUUCCUAGCGGAUUAUUCUCAUCAAGCCCAGGGCCCCAGGCUGCCCAGCAAUAAGCCGCAUCAUAUUUUA